rnacentral:rRNA from 1 species
UAGUAACGCGUGGGAACGUACCCUUCACUACGGAAUAGUCCCGGGAAACUGGGUUUAAUACCGUAUACGCCCUUCGGGGGAAAGAAUUUCGGUGAGGGAUCGGCCCGCGUUAGAUUAGUUAGUUGGUGGGGUAAUGGCCUACCAAGACUACGAUCUAUAGCUGGUUUGAGAGGAUGAUCAGCAACACUGGGACUGAGACACGGCCCAGACUCCUACGGGAGGCAGCAGUGGGGAAUCUUAGACAAUGGGGGCAACCCUGAUCUAGCGAUGCCGCGUGAGUGAUGAAGGCCUUAGGGUCGUAAAGCUCUUUCGCCUGUGAUGAUAAUGACAGUAGCAGGUAAAGAAACCCCGGCUAACUCCGUGCCAGCAGCCGCGGUAAUACGGAGGGGGUUAGCGUUGUUCGGAAUUACUGGGCGUAAAGCGCACGUAGGCGGAUUAGUCAGUCAGAGGUGAAAUCCCAGGGCUCAACCCUGGAACUGCCUUUGAUACUGCUAGUCUUGAGUUCGAGAGAGGUAAGUGGAAUUCCGAGUGUAGAGGUGAAAUUCGUAGAUAUUCGGAGGAACACCAGUGGCGAAGGCGGCUUACUGGCUCGAUACUGACGCUGAGGUGCGAAAGUGUGGGGAGCAAACAGGAUUAGAUACCCUGGUAGUCCACACCGUAAACGAUGAAUGCCAGUCGUCGGGUAGCAUGCUAUUCGGUGACACACCUAACGGAUUAAGCAUUCCGCCUGGGGAGUACGGUCGCAAGAUUAAAACUCAAAGGAAUUGACGG